rnacentral:rRNA from 1 species
AGCGAACGCUGGCGGCAGGCCUAACACAUGCAAGUCGAACGAAGUCUUCGGACUUAGUGGCGGACGGGUGAGUAACACGUGGGAACGUACCUUUUGGUUCGGAACAACUCAGGGAAACUUGAGCUAAUACCGGAUGAGCCCUUAGGGGGAAAGAUUUAUCGCCGAAAGAGCGGCCCGCGUUAGAUUAGCUAGUUGGUGAGGUAAAGGCUCACCAAGGCUACGAUCUAUAGCUGGUCUGAGAGGAUGAUCAGCCACACUGGGACUGAGACGCGGCCCAGACUCCUACGGGAGGCAGCAGUGGGGAAUCUUGCGCAAUGGGCGAAAGCCUGACGCAGCCAUGCCGCGUGAAUGAUGAAGGUCUUAGGAUUGUAAAAUUCUUUUACCAGGGACGGUAAUGACGGUACCUGGAGAAAAAGCCCCGGCUAACUUCGUGCCAGCAGCCGCCGUAAAAC